GACGAACGCUGGCGGCGUGCUUAACACAUGCAAGUCGAACGGAAAGGCCCUGCUUUUGUGGGGUGCUCGAGUGGCGAACGGGUGAGUAACACGUGAGUAACCUGCCCUUGACUUUGGGAUAACUUCAGGAAACUGGGGCUAAUACCGGAUAGAAGCUCCUGCUGCAUGGUGGGGGUUGGAAAGUUUCGGCGGUUGGGGAUGGACUCGCGGCUUAUCAGCUUGUUGGUGGGGUAGUGGCUUACCAAGGCUUUGACGGGUAGCCGGCCUGAGAGGGUGACCGGCCACAUUGGGACUGAGAUACGGCCCAGACUCCUACGGGAGGCAGCAGUGGGGAAUAUUGCACAAUGGGCGGAAGCCUGAUGCAGCAACGCCGCGUGCGGGAUGACUGCCUUCGGGUUGUAAACCGCUUUCGCCUGUGACGAAGCGUGAGUGACGGUAAUGGGUAAAGAAGCACCGGCUAACUACGUG
rnacentral:rRNA from 1 species